rnacentral:rRNA from 1 species
AGAGUUUGAUUCUGGCUCAGAACGAACGUUAGCGGCGCGCCUAACACAUGCAAGUCGCACGAGAAAGGGCUUCGGCCCCGGUACAGUGGCGCACGGGUGAGUAACACGUAGAUAAUCUUCCCUCGGGUGGUGGAUAACUCUCCGAAAGGAGAGCUAAUACAGCAUGAGACCACGGCUCCCCUGGAGCUGCGGCCAAAGCAGGCCUCUAUACAUAAGCUUGCGCCUGAGGAUGAGUCUGCGGCCCAUCAGCUAGUUGGUAGGGUAAUGGCCUACCAAGGCUAAGAGGGGUAGCUGGUCUGAGAGGAUGAACAGCCACACUGGAACUGAGACACGGUCCAGACUCCUACGGGAGGCAGCAGUGGGAAUCUUGCGCAAUGGGCGAAAGCCUGACGCAGCGACGCCGCGUGAGCGAUGAAGGCCUUCGGGUUGUAAAGCUCUGUGGGGAGGAAAGAAUAAGGGUUGGCUAAUAUCCAGCUCGAUGACGGUACCUCCUUAGCAAGCACCGGCUAACUCUGUGCCAGCAGCCGCGGUAAGACAGAGGGUGCAAACGUUGUUCGGAAUUACUGGGCGUAAAGCGCGUGUAGGCGGCUCUGUAAGUCGGAUGUGAAAUCCCACGGCUCAACCAUGGAAGUGCAUUCGAAACUACAGGGCUAGAGUUCUGGAGAGGAAGGUGGAAUGCUUGGUGUAGAGGUGAAAUUCGUAGAUAUCAAGCGGAACACCGGUGGCGAAGGCGGCCUUCUGGACAGUAACUGACGCUGAGACGCGAAAGCGUGGGGAGCAAACAGGAUUAGAUACCCUGGUAGUCCACGCCGUAAACGAUGAGUGCUAGGUGUCACGGGCUUUGACCCUCGUGGUGCCGAAGCUAACGCGUUAAGCACUCCGCCUGGGGAGUACGGUCGCAAGACUAAAACUCAAAGAAAUUGACGGGGGCCCGCACAAGCGGUGGAGCAUGUUGUUUAAUUCGACGCAACGCGAAGAACCUUACCUGGGCUAGAAAGUACAGGAAGUCGGUCGAAAGGUCGAUGUGCCCUUCGGGGAACCUGUGGUUAGGUGCUGCAUGGCUGUCGUCAGCUCGUGUCGUGAGAUGUUGGGUUAAGUCCCGCAACGAGCGCAACCCCUGUUGUUAGUUGCCAGCAUUAAGUUGGGCACUCUAACAAGACUGCCGACCUUUAAGUCGGAGGAUGUGGGGAUGACGUCAAGUCAUC